UACGAAGGGGGCAAGCGUUGUUCGGAUUUACUGGGCGUAAAGGGCGCGCAGGCGGCUCUUCAAGUCAGAUGUGAAAGCCCCGGGCUCAACCUGGGAACUGCGUCCGAUACUGGCAGGCUUGAAUUCGGGAGAGGGAUGCGGAAUUCCAGGUGUAGCGGUGAAAUGCGUAGAUAUCUGGAGGAACACCGGUGGCGAAGGCGGCAUCCUGGACCGAAAUUGACGCUGAGGCGCGAAAGCCAGGGGAGCAAACGGG
rnacentral:rRNA from 1 species